GGGUUGUGAGGUUAAGCGACUAAGCGUACACGGUGGAUGCCCUGGCAGUCAGAGGCGAUGAAGGACGUGCUAAUCUGCGAUAAGCGUCGGUAAGGUGAUAUGAACCGUUAUAACCGGCGAUUUCCGAAUGGGGAAACCCAGUGUGUUUCGACACACUAUCAUUAACUGAAUCCAUAGGUUAAUGAGGCGAACCGGGGGAACUGAAACAUCUAAGUACCCCGAGGAAAAGAAAUCAACCGAGAUUCCCCCAGUAGCGGCGAGCGAACGGGGAGCAGCCCAGAGCCUGAAUCAGUGUGUGUGUUAGUGGAAGCGUCUGGAAAGGCGCGCGAUACAGGGUGACAGCCCCGUACACAAAAAUGCACAUACUGUGAGCUCGAUGAGUAGGGCGGGACACGUGGUAUCCUGUCUGAAUAUGGGGG
rnacentral:rRNA from 1 species